CUUCCUGGUGGUUCUGUCAUCAUGCUUCCUGCUGUACCUGCCGUGAUUGGUGGCUGGCACACGAAAUUCUUGUAUUCAGGUCAAGCAGAGGCCAGGGAGAGGUAACGAAAGAAUGGGGUGGAUUAGUUUCACCUGUCUCUUCUUUCUCCGCUCCACCUGGGCAGCAGAGAUGUGACAGGUGCUCUCCAGCAUCAGAACGAGAAGCGAAGGGAGACAGUGUUGUGUUUGUGUUAACUGUCUCUGAAAGCAGAGGUCAAGAAGAGUCACUGAAAUGACACGGGACACGAAGGAACAUUUCCUGUCCGUCCAGCUUGGAGCAGCUUGGAGACCUUUGAAUAGGAUAACGGGUUGAGGUUGUGCUUUUUUCCUGGUGGCGUACAGCUGUCUUUGUGCCUUUCCCAGCGAGGGAUGGUAACAUGCUUCCUGCCUGCAGCCUGGACAGAGUGGGAGGUGCAUGGAGGUGCAUGGAGGUGCUCGGCUUCUCCCACCAGAAUUUUCAAGACCUCAGUUGUCCACAUUCUGAAGGCAACUGGUCUGCCUGCAACCUCUACACCCUCUCAGCAGCCCAGCCUGCAGAUAAGACACCGGCACGGAGCGCUAACAUGGCUGCGGUCUGGAAGACCACGGCUAUCGCUUCUCCUCAAGGCUGAUUAAUUACUUGAUUCGCACCUGGCAAGUUUAUGAGACACUGUAAGCAGCAGGCAGCAGGUGCUGCUGGAAGCAUUUGGCCAGCAGGGAUUUUCAGAGAAGGGCUGGUUUGUGAAACAAUGUAAUGAACUAAGCCAGCAAGGGAAAAUGUUUUUAUGCUUCUUACUCCUUGGUUCUGCGUUUCCUAUCUGUAUAAAGUGACCCUGGAGUUUACCAUGGGUCAGGUCAGGUCAGGAACAAACAGUUCAUGCCAGUCCAAAACUGAAAAGUCAGUAGCCGCAUAGAACACGUCCAAAGUGCCCUCGGUGCUUACCACCCAACCCUCAUGUGAACACGUCAACCUUAGAGUAUAACAGUCCCACAGGCUAAAUCAAGACAGUAUUUGAUAGGGGGGGGGACUCAAAUUCAGUAUCUAAAAAUUAAACAAAGCAAAAUUUAAUAGCAAAUCAAAUUGUAUUUUCUCUCUGUGGUGUACAUACAAUGAUAACCUUGACUCUGAGGAAGAGAGCUGAAUGUUGAUGGCGAAGAGGUGUUAGUCCUUAUCCUAGACUCAUUCUGAAUUGGUAGUGAUUAGGGACACAGCAAUUUUAUGGGUGUGUGUUCACUCACUAUUACCUAAGACUUCUAUUUUUUUAAAGCUCAGUUGGGAUGCGCAUUCCAACUGAGAAGCUUCCAGUAAACUUGAAUAUUUACUAUUUGUCGUGUGCUCUACUCCCUGGGAUGUUUUUUCUUGCUAAUGACACAACUGUCAUGCUGCCUAGAAUAUUCUACAUGGACACAGAACAAUACAGAACUCUGAAAUGUGGUCUGCUCUUAUUUGGACUUAACAAAACUGGUUUCAAAUGCUUUAUAAUAAAUUUAUCAAUUGUUUUCUCCA